GGAGAAUCACUGGUAAAUCGAACCAUUUCAGUACAGAUCAAACCAGAAUAACUUGGGCUCAUAACCCAAAGGUCGCAGGUUCGAGUCCUGCCUCCG
rnacentral:tRNA from 1 species